rnacentral:rRNA from 1 species
UUUGGCGGUUAUCGAGCAGGGGAAACACCUGAUCCCAUCCCGAACUCAGUAGUUAAGACUUGCCUCGCCGAUGGUACUGUACACAAGAGUAUGGAAGAGUAGGUCGCCGCCAAUU